AGGACGAACGCUGGCGGCGUGCUUAACACAUGCAAGUCGAACGGAAAGGCCCUUCGGGGUACUCGAGUGGCGAACGGGUGAGUAACACGUGGGUGAUCUGCCCUGCACUUUGGGAUAAGCCUGGGAAACUGGGUCUAAUACCGAAUACACCUUGCCGGCUGCAUGGUUGGUGGGGGAAAGCUUUUGCGGUGUGGGAUGGGCCCGCGGCCUAUCAGCUUGUUGGUGGGGUGAUGGCCUACCAAGGCGACGACGGGUAGCCGGCCUGAGAGGGUGUCCGGCCACACUGGGACUGAGAUACGGCCCAGACUCCUACGGGAGGCAGCAGUGGGGAAUAUUGCACAAUGGGGGCAACCCUGAUCCAGCAAUGCCGCGUGGAUGAUGAAGGCCUUCGGGUUGUAAAGUCCUUUCGGCGGGAAGAUGAUGACGGUACCGCAGAAGAAGCCCGGCUAACUUCGUGCCAGCAGCCGC
rnacentral:rRNA from 1 species